CCUACGGGGGGCUGCAGUGGGGAAUAUUGGACAAUGGGGGCAACCCUGAUCCAGCCAUGCCGCGUGUGUGAAGAAGGCCCUCGGGUUGUAAAGCACUUUCAGUGAGGAAGAACGCCUGGUGGUUAAUACCCAUCAGGAAAGACAUCACUCACAGAAGAAGCACCGGCUAACUCCGUGCCAGCAGCCGCGGUAAUACGGAGGGUGCGAGCGUUAAUCGGAAUUACUGGGCGUAAAGCGCGCGUAGGUGGCUUGAUAAGCCGGUUGUGAAAGCCCCGGGCUCAACCUGGGAACGGCAUCCGGAACUGUCAAGCUAGAGUGCAGGAGAGGAAGGUAGAAUUCCCGGUGUAGCGGUGAAAUGCGAAGAGAUCGGGAGGAAUACCAGUGGCGAAGGCGGCCUUCUGGACUGACACUGACACUGAGGUGCGAAAGCGUGGGUAGCAAACAGGAUUAGAUACCCGAGUAGUC
rnacentral:rRNA from 1 species